UGCCGCGUGAGUGAUGAAGGCCCUAGGGUUGUAAAGCUCUUUUGUACGGGAAGAUAAUGACGGUACCGUAAGAAUAAGCCCCGGCUAACUUCGUGCCAGCAGCCGCGGUAAUACGAAGGGGGCUAGCGUUGCUCGGAAUCACUGGGCGUAAAGGGUGCGUAAGCGGGUUUUUAAGUCAGAGGUGAAAUCCUGGAGCUCAACUCCAGAACUGCCUUUGAUACUGAAAGUCUUGAGUAUGGGAGAGGUGAGUGGAACUGCGAGUGUAGAGGUGAAAUUCGUAUAUAUUCGCAAGAACACCAGUGGCGAAGGCGGCUCACUGGCCCAUAACUGACGCUGAGGCACGAAAGCGUGGGGAGCAAACAGGAUUAAAUACCCUGGUAGUCCACGCCAUAAACGAUGAAGGCCAGCCGUUAGUGGGUUUACUCACUAGUGGCGCAGCUAACGCUUUAAGCAUUCCGCCUGGGGAGUACGGUCGCAAGAUUAAAACUCAAAGGAAUUGACGGGGGCCCGCACAAGCGGUGGAGCAUGUGGUUUAAUUCGACGCAGCGCGCAGAACCUUACCAGCCCUUGACAUGUCCAGGACCGGCACCAGAGAUGGAGCCUUCUCUUCGGAGCCUGGAG
rnacentral:rRNA from 1 species